rnacentral:misc_RNA from 1 species
AAAGUCGUAACAAGGUUUCCGUAGGUGAACCUGCGGAAGGAUCAUUACCGAAUGAACUACACCACCUUCUUGUAGCAGAACCAUUGCCCAUUCCCAUGGCUGCAUGAGCAGAUCUGACGCCUGGAUUCUUGAUGCGCAGGGCGAUGCCACGCUUGCCUGUCGUUGGUAGUUACCUGCUAACUUGAAUACCACCAAAGGGUCCCUGCUCCACUUGAAUACCAUUAUUUCAGCUCCCAUGUUGAAUGUUGGAUGUGCGGUCUCUGGGCUUUGGUCUGCUAUGCUUAUCAAACCUGUUAUUGUAUGUAUGCAUGGUGGGGUGGCAUCCACCUUUUGUUGGGUUGCCUCCCUCAAGCAUGUAAAAACACAAAAAUAUAACUUUCAACAACGGAUCUCUUGGCUCUC